CCCUUAGAUGUUCUGGGCCGCACGCGCGUUACACUGACGAAGUCAGCGAGCAUGUCCUACGCCGACAGGUGCGGGGAAUCUUGUCAAACUUCGUCGUGAUGGGGAUUGAUUAUUGAAAUUCUUGAUCAUCAACGAGGAAUUCCUAGUAAGCGCAAGUCAGCAGCUUGCGUUGAUUACGUCCCUGCCCUUUGUACACACCGCCCGUCGCUACUACCGAUUGAAUGGUUUAGUGAGAUCUUCGGAUUGGCGCCACUGCGGCUCAGCAAUGGGCUCAGUGGAUGCCGAAAAGUUGAUCAAACUUGAUCAUUUAGAGGAAGUAAAAGUCGUAACA
rnacentral:rRNA from 1 species